UACGAAGGGUGCAAACGUUGCUCGGAAUUAUUGGGCGUAAAGCGCACGUAGGCGGCGCGGUAAGUCGGGUGUGAAAUCUUGGAGCUUAACUCCGAAACUGCAUUCGAUACUGCCGUGCUUGAGGACUGGAGAGGAGACUGGAAUUUACGGUGUAGCGGUGAAAUGCGUAGAUAUCGUAAGGAAGACCAGUGGCGAAGGCGGGUCUCUGGACAGUUCCUGACGCUGAGGCACGAAGGCCAGGGGAGCAAACGGG
rnacentral:rRNA from 1 species